AAGGAGGCAGUUGGAGACUGUAUUGCUUUAAGGUUUACAACAGCAGUGUGUGAAGAAGUAGGCUGUGAGGAGUCUUCCGUCUUGUCCCAUGUCUGACUACUAUCAUGCAAACAGAUGGGACUUAAAUUGUUUCUGAAGGUCAGCGGGCUUUAGAGAAAUGAGAUUCAUGAAGUUUCUCUCUCCCAACAUCUGCCACUAAAUGAAGUUUGGAAACAACGCUAUUUCCCAGCUAAUGAUAGGACUUGAUGACAGCAGCAGCUCUCCCAAGUAGUCAACAUUUGUACCAUUAAUGGACUUUAAUUUGACACUUGUAAUAGUACCUGGAACUCUAAAGUUAAGCAUACACUUAACUGGUUAGGUGUCAUAAAUGUGCAGGAAAACAUAUUGCAAAUAUUGUACAAUCAUAAUUAUUUCUUCUUUACUGUUGCUUACCUACAUUGUAAUCUGGAUUGCAGAGAUUUUUUUUUCCCCCUUUUAAUGAACAGAAAGAAACUACAGAUCUGAUCAAAUUUUGAAGUCUAUACAUCAAUGAACUUCAUGUUCACCUGAAGAUAAGGCUUAAUUGAGUUCACAGAUAAUUACAUUCAAAACAUAAGUUCUUGGGGGGGAAAAAAAACCAAGAAACAUUAUUCUACUCCUUAGUCAUGGGAGUAGUUCUAAGUUGUAGGUGAUCUGUGUGUGAGGAGGGAAUAUGAUUGUGAUGGGUUCUGUGACUUACUGAGGUUGAAUCUGCAUGUUAAAAUCAAGGGUAGUUUUAAGUCGUAUGCUACAGUUGUGAUGUCGACUAAAUAUAUUGAUCAAACUCUGGUUGUAUUUGAGCUCAGUGUUAGCAAGCAAAUCUGUUUUUGGUUGGUUGUUUGUUUGUUUUUUUUUUUGUAAUGUCAAGCUGGAGACAGACUCUCCUUCAGCUAUUGAUCCCAUUAUCUCUUCAAGAAGGAAAAGGCAACAUCUUUAAAAAUACUUAAGUACCAAGCAAGUGACCCUUCUAAGCUGGAAUGCCACCCCACUAAUGAUGCAGAGAAGAAAAACAGCCGUUUCUGGCAGAGUUUGCAGGAUCUCUCAUGCCAAACAAAAAAAGUCCAAUAUGCCUGGUAAAAAUAAAUAUCACU
rnacentral:lncRNA from 7 species